GUGCCCUCCCUCUCCACCAGUAAAGCACCUGGGGCACUGAACAACAGAGUAAAAAUAAACACGGUGUAAUUAAUUAACACUGAUUGCAAUCCCUCCCCUCUGGCCUAUCUGAGAUGCAGCUGCUGGGGCCCACUGGGCUCACCAGGCCUCAGCCUGCAGCUCCAUGCCACCUCCCUGCCCUCCCACUGCCCAUGUGGGCCUGGCCCUGUGUCUCAGAGCCAGUCCUCUAUUUCUGUUAUGUCCUGCCUCCCAUCCCUAGCCUACACUUUGUGAAAAAGGCCACUUUUGUCUUUGUUGGAGGGGGAAGCAAGGAAAUGUUUAGAGAAUAGCAUUAUGGCCUGUGCAAAUGUUGUGAUGAUUUCCCAGGUCUUUCUGGCCACAGUGCUAAAAGUAGGCAUUGUCAAAAGUCUGACUUUUAAUAACAUAUCCACAUGGUACCUCCAGGCCUGAGCUGAGUCUCCCGUUUAACAACUGUGCCAUCCAAGUUAGCAAAAAUCAGCCAUCUCUCUCCACAGAGUUUGCUGGCAUUGGACUCUCUGCUUGGUCACAAGGAGCUGCCUUCCAGCGAACAUUUAACCUGAGUUUUUUAAAUCUCCUCCACUUCACACUAGAGCAUGCUCAUGGUCAAAGCUUUUGGCUAUACUUUCUGCCAGAAGAGAUGGAGACGGAUGUUUUCCCUUCCAGCUGGAUGUGCCACUGCCCUGUAGUUGGGAUCAGUAGACAGGAUGAGCACAGGCUUGUGAGAAGGGAAACAGGAGAGCAGACAGAAGAAAUAUGACAGCCCAACACAGAGGACUUCAGUAAUGUCUUCGGAGCUAAACGUGCUAAUGUGGACCUGCAUCUCAAAAAGAACAGGUUAUGGCUAGGGGACCAUCACUCACAGAAAGCCGGGGUACCAAGAUUUUAUGGUCACCCAUGUGAUCCUUUAAAAGACUGAACUUAACCCUUAAAACACUUAGCUCAAAUAAAAAUAAUUUAGGAUGUUACAAUGAAAAAACUUUAAGGCAUAUUAAAUAUCCAUGGGGGGGUCCCCUUUGAUUUUAUAAGCUAUGACUGUUGAAAAUUUUACAUUUUUAAAAACAAAGAGGGUGGUGUUGACUCCAGGGAUAUGUUGCCCUCUGAAGUAGAUGAAAAUGCUUACAGAACAGGUGAAGAAAUAUGUAGGAUGGAAGAAAGGACCUUCUUGAUAGCUCUCUAAAUUAGGCAUGAUAGAAAAGAUUUCAGAACGAUAUCUAAUUUCUUCAGGAAUGGUAAAUGAAGAAAAAAAAAAGAAAUGUGUCUGUCUCAGAUAUCCAAGUUUUGUGUUGUUUUGCUGAUUAGAAAUAGCCCAAUUUGUUUUACAACAUCAUUUAUUACUGUACCACAAGGUUCCAAUAAACACUUUAAUAAACAUCACAACCCAAAAACUCACCAUCCCCAGUUAUGUCUCUAUAAAAAUUUAUGGCAGCAUCAUUCUGCCAAGGCUCCUGACUGAAGAAUUUAACUUAAAUCGUUAUUUACAAUUUUUGGGUGUUUUUGGAACAAUUGCCAUGCAGCUGGCUAACAUCACAUCAGCCCCACACAUCCAUGGCAGCAGAUAUUCAGACAUUAAAAAGCCAUUUUGCACCUCCUGCCCCCCACAGCCUGGUGUGGAAAGGGAUGAGCAGUGGAGCGGUUAUAAGCUUGAGCCUGAUCUCCAGCUCAAGCUGUUGGCUCUACCUUGGCACUGCCCUGCUGAUUCCAGAUGCAGAUAGAAGGGUAGGUGAGUGACUUUUUCUAGACCAUGGAAGCUGAAUUCCAGUCCAUUUCCCUUGGCUAUUGUUUUCAGUGUAUGGUUACACCUGCCUGAUCUUUAUGAUUAAAACACUGAUGAGAAAACUCUUGACUUGACAUAACCUGACAAACUAAUCCUAUUCUUUCCUGCCAGUUCGUAGUUUCAGCUAGUAGUUUUGCAUAUUGAAUACAUCUUGAAACAGUGAGAUUAUUUUCUUAUAUAUUGUAACAAUACAUAAUGCUAUCAAACUCUUAAAAAUAAGCUCUAGUACAAAGGCCUUCAGCAGAGAUAGACUCUGGGGAUAAAAAAGCAGAACAGCUGGGAUGGAGGAGCAACUACAGAAAGAAUGAAAACUCAGAGAUAGCUUCUUAGAUGAAUAAAAUGACAGUGUAUGCAACACAGAUGUAAAUAAAAUUUAAAGACAGUUAUCAGAGGCUAAACCAGCUGGAGUGAGCAACAUAAAAAUAGA